rnacentral:misc_RNA from 1 species
CACGUAGGGGGCGAGCGUUGUCCGGAAUCAUUGGGCGUAAAGGGUGCGUAGGCGGCCGUUUAAGUCCUGUGUGAAAGGCCCCGGCUCAACCGGGGAGGGUCAUGGGAAACUGGACGGCUUGAGUGCCGGAGAGGGUGGCGGAAUUCCCGGUGUAGCGGUGAAAUGCGUAGAUAUCGGGAAGAACACCAGUGGCGAAGGCGGCCACCUGGACGGUGACUGACGCUGAGGCACGACAGCUGGGGGAGCGAACAGG